rnacentral:rRNA from 1 species
UCAAGCUAAAAAGGGCGCAAGGUGAAUGCCUUGGCACUGGGAGCCGAUGAAAGACGUGGUAAGCUGCGAAAAGCUUCGGGGAGGAGCAAACAUCCAUUGAUCCGGAGAUAUCUGAAUGGGGCAACCCAAUGGAGUUCAUACUCCAUUAUCCAAUACUGAAUCCAUAGGUAUUGGAAGGGAACCGCCUGAACUGAAACAUCUAAGUAGGGCGAGGAAGAGACAUCAAACGAGAUUCCGUAAGUAGUGGCGAGCGAACGCGGAAGAGGGCAAACCGGGAGUAGAAAUACUUCCGGGGUACGGACCGCAUUUAGGACUUGAGUUGUUAACCGAACGGCAUGGGAAGGCCGGUCAGAGAGUGUGAGAACCACGUAGGUGAAAACGACAAAAGCUGAGCGAGUUCCAGAGUACGGCCAGACACGUGAAACCUGGUCGGAAUACGGGGGGACCACCCUCCAACCCUAAAUACUACCCAGUGACCGAUAGCGUAUAGUACUGUGAAGGAAAGGUGAAAAGCACCCCGGGAGGGGAGUGAAAAAGAACCUGAAACCCUGUGCCUACAAGCACCUAGAGCACGUCAAUGUGUGAUAGGGUACUUUUUGUAGAACGGUCCGGCGAGCGAUUGUAUGCAGCAAGGUUAAGGACUUAAGGUCUGGAGCCGAAGCGAAAGCGAGUUUGAAAAGGGCGUUAAGUUGCAUAUAAUGGGCCCGAAACCGGGUGACCUACCCAUGGUCAGGUUGAAGUGGAAGUAAAAUUCCAUGGAGGACCGAACCGACCUCCGUUGAAAAGGCGGCGGAUGAACUGUGGGUAGCGGAGAAAUUCCAAUCGAACCCGGAGAUAGCUGGUUCUCCCCGAAAUAGUUUUAGGACUAGCCUCAAGUUAGAUACCUGGAGGUAAAGCACUGAAUAGCCUAGCGGCCGAGAGGUUAGCGAAGCUUAUCAAACUCAGAAUGCCAGAGUAUUGAUGCUUGGGAGUCAGACAGUGUCAGAUAAAUGUCAUUGUCAAAAGGGAAACAGCCCAGAUCUACAGCUAAGGUCCCAAAGUCAGGUUAAGUGGAAAACGAUGUGAAGAUACGCAGACAACCAGGAUGUUGGCUCAGAAGCAGCCACUCAUUCAAAGAGUGCGUAAUAGCUCACUGGUCGAGCGUCUUUGCGCGGAGAAUUUAACGGGGCUAAACCUGACACCGAAGCUUAGGCAAUACAGCAAUGUAUUGGGUAGGGGAGCGUUGUAUACGCGGUGAAACAGUAGCGCAAGCGGCUGUGGAGUGUAUAGAAGUGAGAAUGCCGGAAUGAGUAGCGCGAAUGCAGUGAGAAUCUGCAUGGCCGAAAGCCUCAGGUUUCUGGAGGAAGGUUCGUCCGCUCCAGGUUAGUCGGGAGCUAAGGUGAGGCCUAACGGCGUAGCCGAUGCACAGACGGUAGAGAUUCCGUCACCACCAAAAGAGUUAAACACAGGGACACAUAUGAAGUCUCGGAGCCGGGUGUUGGUUCCGGUAGCGAUCGAGGGAAAUUAGUACCGAAGUCCGGGAUGGAAGAUGGCGAGAAAAGCUGUGUGUAUUUCUGCGGUGCCCGUACCGCAAACCGACACAGGUAGGUAGGAAGAAGAUUCUAAGGCCAACGGGAGAAGGGUUGUUAAGGAACUCGGCAAAUUGACCCCGUAACUUCGGGAGAAGGGGUGCUCCAGAGAUGGAGCCGCAGAGAAUCGGCCCAAGCAACUGUUUACCAAAAACACAGGUUUGUGCUAAAUCGAAAGAUGACGUAUACGAGCUGACGCCUGCCCGGUGCUGGAAGGUUAAGAGGAGAUGUGCAAGCAUUGAAUCGAAGCCCCAGUGAACGGCGGCCGUAACUAUAACGGUCCUAAGGUAGCGAAAUUCCUUGUCAGGUAAGUUCUGACCCGC